UACGGAGGGGUUAGCGUUGUUCGGAAUUACUGGCGUAAAGCGCGCGUAGGCGGGCUGUUAAGUCGGGGUGGAAAUCCCGGGGCUCAACCCCCGGAACGGCCCUCGAUACUGGCAGCCUAGAGUUCGAGAGAGGUGAGUGGAAUUCCGAGUGUAGAGGUGAAAUUCGUAGAUAUUCGGAGGAACACCAGUGGCGAAGGCGGCUCACUGGCUCGAUACUGACGCUGAGGUGCGAAAGCGUGGGGAGCAAACAGGAUUAGAUACCCGCGUAGU
rnacentral:rRNA from 1 species